AGUCCGGUCAAAAUAAUUACCGAAAGUAUGACGGCCUCUCGAGCCGCCGACGCGGGUUCAAAUCCCGCCCGGAGCA
rnacentral:tRNA from 1 species